rnacentral:rRNA from 1 species
UACGGAGGAUCCGAGCGUUAUCCGGAAUUAUUGGGUUUAAAGGGUGCGUAGGCGGCCUGAUAAGUCAGGGGUGAAAGACGGUGGCUCAACCAUCGCAGUGCCUUUGAUACUGUCGGGCUUGAAUGUACUUGAGGUAGGCGGAAUGUGACAAGUAGCGGUGAAAUGCAUAGAUAUGUCACAGAACACCGAUUGCGAAGGCAGCUUACUAAAGUAUGAUUGACGCUGAGGCACGAAAGCGUGGGGAUCAAACAGG